rnacentral:rRNA from 1 species
AACGAACGCUGGCGGCAUGCUUAACACAUGCAAGUCGAACGCUUCUGCGGGCUUCGGUCCGUAGCGGAGUGGCGCACGGGUGAGUAGCGCGUGGGAACCUGCCCUCUUGUGGGGGAUAACUGCGGGAAACUGCAGCUAAUACCGCAUAAGCCCGGGGAAACUCGGGGAAAGAUUUAUCGCGAGAGGAGGGGCCCGCGUCGGAUUAGCUUGUUGGUGGGGUAACGGCCUACCAAGGCGAUGAUCCGUAGCUGGUCUGAGAGGAUGAUCAGCCACACUG